rnacentral:rRNA from 1 species
UAGGGAAUCUUCGGCAAUGGACGAAAGUCUGACCGAGCAACGCCGCGUGAGUGAAGAAGGUUUUCGGAUCGUAAAACUCUGUUGUUAGAGAAGAACAAGGACGUUAGUAACUGAACGUCCCCUGACGGUAUCUAACCAGAAAGCCACGGCUAACUACGUGCCAGCAGCCGCGGUACUACGUAGGUGGCAAGCGUUGUCCGGAUUUAUUGGGCGUAAAGCGAGCGCAGGCGGUUUCUUAAGUCUGAUGUGAAAGCCCCCGGCUCAACCGGGGAGGGUCAUUGGAAACUGGGAGACUUGAGUGCAGGAGAGGAGAGUGGAAUUCCAUGUGUAGCGGUGAAAUGCGUAGAUAUAUGGAGGAACACCAGUGGAGAAGGCGGCUCUCUGGUCUGUAACUGACGCUGAGGCUCGAAAGCGUGGGGAGCAAACAGG